UCAUGAUGGACGAAUGUAGUGCGAGUUAUAAAUAGACAAUUUUUCCCUUAAUUUUUUUCUCCCCUCUUCCUGCAUUUUUGGGUUGACUUUUUGAUCUAGAAUUGGAGAAAAGGGAUCAAAUUUGCAAUUUCAUAGCAGUUUUGGGUAAUACUGAUGAUAUUACAGCGGAGGGAUAGGGGGUGUAAAGUGUCUUUCUGCAGAGCAGUCAUUGUGUCGGAAGUGAGAUUUUCACCCCAGUCAACUUCAAAUCCGUGUAGCAAAAAAUCUAAAUGGUCAACCCCCUACAAAAUUAUGAUGAGGAGAUUGCCAAAUGUUGUCCCCAUUGUGCCUAUAAAGAUUGGAACCAACGGAAUGUUGAGAAAAAAGCUACAGCCUGUGAUGUUACAGCCAUUUAACAUUGAAGUCAAUGGGCAAAUAAUUGCUAGUCUGAGUCCUGAUGAGGUAAAGAAACAUGGCCGACUCGGGAUGUUGAUAUUUUUUCAAGGGCUUAUUUCCUGAAAUUUUGAAUGGAAAGUGUCAGAAAUAGUAAGAAUACUGCUUUUUUAUUGCCCAGCAGUAAGUUUUUUGACUAUUUGGUAUCAAAAUAGCCAUGAUUGGGGGUAUCCGUUGGUUGAGUGUGAAUUUUGGGUUGUAAAUGUGUAACAUUUUCUUCACAAUGAUAUCAAAACAUGGUUAGGUCUAAAUAUUAAGGCCAACUCAACUCCAGAUUUGGUCUAAAGUCACGAGAUGUAAACAAGGCUGACCCUAACCCUAACCCAAGACCCAGUCCUUACCCUAACCCUAACCCACAAUCUUGUCAAGAAGCAUGUAGCCUAGGCCUAAGCCAAGACCUAGUUCUGACCCUAGCCCAAACCCACAAUUGUGUAAAAAAAUCAUGUGCCCUAACCCUAUUUACAUGUUGUGACCUUGAACCAAGUCUGCAGUUGGCCUUAACAUUUAGACCUAACAUGUUUUUGACAUCAUACAAUGAAAUGUUAACAUGUACACUCCAAAAUUCACACCUGUGUGACUUUUGACCAAACAUGCAGUUGGCCUUAAUAUUUAGACCGAACCUCAAAACAUGGCAUCUACCUUUGAGAUUGGCUUAGACUUAUGUGACACUCAAGGUUUACUUUUUUACUGAUUGUUAACUGGUUUCUUUUUGGAGGGCCAGUGACGGGCUGUUCGCGAGAAAUAAAGAGGUUUAUUUCUAUUUCCAGUUGAAACCAUAUUUUUUUCUUAUUUUCUCACUGUUUUUUAUUGCAUAUUUAUCCCCAGCCUCCUAUCAUUUCAGGUGCCAGGGCAUUGUUUCAUAGAGUGGAAUGAUUGACCUCAACACAAGUAUUAAAAAAAAAGAAGCAAAACAGGUCUACAUCUCAAAACCUGAUCUCUUCCUGGACUGGCUUUAGGAGAACGAUGAUGCAUAUCAAUUUCAUCCCUGAUCUCUAUGACACCUGUGGUGGAAGUGGAGGGCAAAUCGUAAUCAGUUUGGGACCUCUGUAAACUUUGCUUUUUGGUGAUGACUUAAUUUCCGAGCUUGAAAAGGACGCUUGUGUGUUUAUCAUGGCCUCUCAUAUUGGAAGAUAACAUUAAUGGCUUGUGUGUUGAUCGACGGUUGUGCAUAUCUCUUGGUCAGGAAAGUUGUAGGCACCAUCGCCAUUGUAAAUCAUUUGACAGGCUCGAGUGAACGGGGCGACCUAUGAUUGGUCAGCAAUGUAUCAGAUUCCAUACCGGGGGGUGGGGAUGAAAAAACUGUUGUAGUGUUACAUAAUCAGAUUAUUUCAACUUACUUAUCCUGUGGAAAUACAGCUAUAUAGGAGAUAUUUUGAAAUUCAUAGGCACUGCAUGUUUCAACAUUUUAGAUUUGACCACAAUUUGGCACUUAAAACUAUGUUAACAGAGAAAAACUGUGUGGUUUUCGAUGAAAGUGUUAAAAGUCUAAUAUUGCAUCAUGAUUACUGUUUUAAAGUAUUUUCGUGUUUGAUUUAUAUUGAAUUCAUCUCAUCUUUUUGAAGAAUGCAUUUAUGUUCAAAAAUAAAAAUGUUCUGUGGAAUUCAAAAUUCAUGUGCUUUUAAAUUAUCAGAUUCCAAACUGGGGGGUAGGGAUGAAAAAGCUGUUGUAGUGUUACAUAAUCAGAUUAUUUCAACUUACUUAUCCUAUGGAAAUACAGCUAUAUAGGAGAUAUUUUAAAAUUCAUAGGCACUGCAUGUUUCAACAUUUUAGAUUUGACCACAAUUUGGCACUUGAAACUACGUUAACAGAGAAAAACUGUGUGGUUUUCGAUGAAAGUGUUAAAAAGUCUAAUAUUGCAUCAUGAUUACUGUUUUAAAGUAUUUUCGUGUUUGAUUUAUAUUGAAUUUAUCUCAUCUUUUUACAGAAUGCAUUUAUGUUCAAAAAUAAAAAUGUUCUGUUUAAUUCAAAAUUCAUGUGCUUUUAAAUUUCUGUCUGAAAUUCCGCAGUUUUCUGAUGCAUUAUAGUGUUUGCAGAAUGCCGCACAGCUCAUCUGAAAAUGCAUAGAUUUUCAUAUUCUUUGGUCAGGGAAUUGCAUAUAUGUUUGUUUAUUAGAUAACAACAGAUUUGUUUAAACUGCAGAAACAUGUGAGGUAUAUAUGAGGUAAAGAAACAUGGCCGACUCGGGAUGUUGAUAUUUUUUCAAGGGCUUAUUUCCUGAAAUUUUGAAUGGAAAGUGUCAGAAAUAGUAAGAAUACUGCUUUUUUAUUGCCCAGCAGUAAGUUUUUUGACUAUUUGGUAUCAAAAUAGCCAUGAUUGGGGGUAUCCGUUGGUUGAGUGUGAAUUUUGGGUUGUAAAUGUGUAACAUUUUCUUCACAAUGAUAUCAAAACAUGGUUAGGUCUAAAUAUUAAGGCCAACUCAACUCCAGAUUUGGUCUAAAGUCACGAGAUGUAAACAAGGCUGACCCUAACCCUAACCCAAGACCCAGUCCUUACCCUAACCCUAACCCACAAUCUUGUCAAGAAGCAUGUAGCCUAGGCCUAAGCCAAGACCUAGUUCUGACCCUAGCCCAAACCCACAAUUGUGUAAAAAAAUCAUGUGCCCUAACCCUAUUUACAUGUUGUGACCUUGAACCAAGUCUGCAGUUGGCCUUAACAUUUAGACCUAACAUGUUUUUGACAUCAUACAAUGAAAUGUUAACAUGUACACUCCAAAAUUCACACCUGUGUGACUUUUGACCAAACAUGCAGUUGGCCUUAAUAUUUAGACCGAACCUCAAAACAUGGCAUCUACCUUUGAGAUUGGCUUAGACUUAUGUGACACUCAAGGUUUACUUUUUUACUGAUUGUUAACUGGUUUCUUUUUGGAGGGCCAGUGACGGGCUGUUCGCGAGAAAUAAAGAGGUUUAUUUCUAUUUCCAGUUGAAACCAUAUUUUUUUCUUAUUUUCUCACUGUUUUUUAUUGCAUAUUUAUCCCCAGCCUCCUAUCAUUUCAGGUGCCAGGGCAUUGUUUCAUAGAGUGGAAUGAUUGACCUCAACACAAGUAUUAAAAAAAAAGAAGCAAAACAGGUCUACAUCUCAAAACCUGAUCUCUUCCUGGACUGGCUUUAGGAGAACGAUGAUGCAUAUCAAUUUCAUCCCUGAUCUCUAUGACACCUGUGGUGGAAGUGGAGGGCAAAUCGUAAUCAGUUUGGGACCUCUGUAAACUUUGCUUUUUGGUGAUGACUUAAUUUCCGAGCUUGAAAAGGACGCUUGUGUGUUUAUCAUGGCCUCUCAUAUUGGAAGAUAACAUUAAUGGCUUGUGUGUUGAUCGACGGUUGUGCAUAUCUCUUGGUCAGGAAAGUUGUAGGCACCAUCGCCAUUGUAAAUCAUUUGACAGGCUCGAGUGAACGGGGCGACCUAUGAUUGGUCAGCAAUGUAUCAGAUUCCAUACCGGGGGGUGGGGAUGAAAAAACUGUUGUAGUGUUACAUAAUCAGAUUAUUUCAACUUACUUAUCCUGUGGAAAUACAGCUAUAUAGGAGAUAUUUUGAAAUUCAUAGGCACUGCAUGUUUCAACAUUUUAGAUUUGACCACAAUUUGGCACUUAAAACUAUGUUAACAGAGAAAAACUGUGUGGUUUUCGAUGAAAGUGUUAAAAGUCUAAUAUUGCAUCAUGAUUACUGUUUUAAAGUAUUUUCGUGUUUGAUUUAUAUUGAAUUCAUCUCAUCUUUUUGAAGAAUGCAUUUAUGUUCAAAAAUAAAAAUGUUCUGUGGAAUUCAAAAUUCAUGUGCUUUUAAAUUAUCAGAUUCCAAACUGGGGGGUAGGGAUGAAAAAGCUGUUGUAGUGUUACAUAAUCAGAUUAUUUCAACUUACUUAUCCUAUGGAAAUACAGCUAUAUAGGAGAUAUUUUAAAAUUCAUAGGCACUGCAUGUUUCAACAUUUUAGAUUUGACCACAAUUUGGCACUUGAAACUACGUUAACAGAGAAAAACUGUGUGGUUUUCGAUGAAAGUGUUAAAAAGUCUAAUAUUGCAUCAUGAUUACUGUUUUAAAGUAUUUUCGUGUUUGAUUUAUAUUGAAUUUAUCUCAUCUUUUUACAGAAUGCAUUUAUGUUCAAAAAUAAAAAUGUUCUGUUUAAUUCAAAAUUCAUGUGCUUUUAAAUUUCUGUCUGAAAUUCCGCAGUUUUCUGAUGCAUUAUAGUGUUUGCAGAAUGCCGCACAGCUCAUCUGAAAAUGCAUAGAUUUUCAUAUUCUUUGGUCAGGGAAUUGCAUAUAUGUUUGUUUAUUAGAUAACAACAGAUUUGUUUAAACUGCAGAAACAUGUGAGGUAUAUAGGACUAAGACUAGUAAUUAUUUCCCCUUAUUUCAUGAUGGACGAAUGUAGUGCGAGUUAUAAAUAGACAAUUUUUCCCUUAAUUUUUUUCUCCCCUCUUCCUGCAUUUUUGGGUUGACUUUUUGGUCUAGAAUUGGAGAAAAGGGAUCAAAUUUGCAAUUUCAUAGCAGUUUUGGGUAAUACUGAUGAUAUUACAGCGGAGGGAUAGGGGGUGUAAAGUGUCUUUCUGCAGAGCAGUCAUUGUGUCGGAAGUGAGAUUUUCACCCCAGUCAACUUCAAAUCCGUGUAGCAAAAAAUCUAAAUGGUCAACCCCCUACAAAAUUAUGAUGAGGAGAUUGCCAAAUGUUGUCCCCAUUGUGCCUAUAAAGAUUGGAACCAACGGAAUGUUGAGAAAAAAGCUACAGCCUGUGAUGUUACAGCCAUUUAACAUUGAAGUCAAUGGGCAAAUAAUUGCUAGUCUGAGUCCUGAUGAGGUAAAGAAACAUGGCCGACUCGGGAUGUUGAUAUUUUUUCAAGGGCUUAUUUCCUGAAAUUUUGAAUGGAAAGUGUCAGAAAUAGUAAGAAUACUGCUUUUUUAUUGCCCAGCAGUAAGUUUUUUGACUAUUUGGUAUCAAAAUAGCCAUGAUUGGGGGUAUCCGUUGGUUGAGUGUGAAUUUUGGGUUGUAAAUGUGUAACAUUUUCUUCACAAUGAUAUCAAAACAUGGUUAGGUCUAAAUAUUAAGGCCAACUCAACUCCAGAUUUGGUCUAAAGUCACGAGAUGUAAACAAGGCUGACCCUAACCCUAACCCAAGACCCAGUCCUUACCCUAACCCUAACCCACAAUCUUGUCAAGAAGCAUGUAGCCUAGGCCUAAGCCAAGACCUAGUUCUGACCCUAGCCCAAACCCACAAUUGUGUAAAAAAAUCAUGUGCCCUAACCCUAUUUACAUGUUGUGACCUUGAACCAAGUCUGCAGUUGGCCUUAACAUUUAGACCUAACAUGUUUUUGACAUCAUACAAUGAAAUGUUAACAUGUACACUCCAAAAUUCACACCUGUGUGACUUUUGACCAAACAUGCAGUUGGCCUUAAUAUUUAGACCGAACCUCAAAACAUGGCAUCUACCUUUGAGAUUGGCUUAGACUUAUGUGACACUCAAGGUUUACUUUUUUACUGAUUGUUAACUGGUUUCUUUUUGGAGGGCCAGUGACGGGCUGUUCGCGAGAAAUAAAGAGGUUUAUUUCUAUUUCCAGUUGAAACCAUAUUUUUUUCUUAUUUUCUCACUGUUUUUUAUUGCAUAUUUAUCCCCAGCCUCCUAUCAUUUCAGGUGCCAGGGCAUUGUUUCAUAGAGUGGAAUGAUUGACCUCAACACAAGUAUUAAAAAAAAAGAAGCAAAACAGGUCUACAUCUCAAAACCUGAUCUCUUCCUGGACUGGCUUUAGGAGAACGAUGAUGCAUAUCAAUUUCAUCCCUGAUCUCUAUGACACCUGUGGUGGAAGUGGAGGGCAAAUCGUAAUCAGUUUGGGACCUCUGUAAACUUUGCUUUUUGGUGAUGACUUAAUUUCCGAGCUUGAAAAGGACGCUUGUGUGUUUAUCAUGGCCUCUCAUAUUGGAAGAUAACAUUAAUGGCUUGUGUGUUGAUCGACGGUUGUGCAUAUCUCUUGGUCAGGAAAGUUGUAGGCACCAUCGCCAUUGUAAAUCAUUUGACAGGCUCGAGUGAACGGGGCGACCUAUGAUUGGUCAGCAAUGUAUCAGAUUCCAUACCGGGGGGUGGGGAUGAAAAAACUGUUGUAGUGUUACAUAAUCAGAUUAUUUCAACUUACUUAUCCUGUGGAAAUACAGCUAUAUAGGAGAUAUUUUGAAAUUCAUAGGCACUGCAUGUUUCAACAUUUUAGAUUUGACCACAAUUUGGCACUUAAAACUAUGUUAACAGAGAAAAACUGUGUGGUUUUCGAUGAAAGUGUUAAAAGUCUAAUAUUGCAUCAUGAUUACUGUUUUAAAGUAUUUUCGUGUUUGAUUUAUAUUGAAUUCAUCUCAUCUUUUUGAAGAAUGCAUUUAUGUUCAAAAAUAAAAAUGUUCUGUGGAAUUCAAAAUUCAUGUGCUUUUAAAUUAUCAGAUUCCAAACUGGGGGGUAGGGAUGAAAAAGCUGUUGUAGUGUUACAUAAUCAGAUUAUUUCAACUUACUUAUCCUAUGGAAAUACAGCUAUAUAGGAGAUAUUUUAAAAUUCAUAGGCACUGCAUGUUUCAACAUUUUAGAUUUGACCACAAUUUGGCACUUGAAACUACGUUAACAGAGAAAAACUGUGUGGUUUUCGAUGAAAGUGUUAAAAAGUCUAAUAUUGCAUCAUGAUUACUGUUUUAAAGUAUUUUCGUGUUUGAUUUAUAUUGAAUUUAUCUCAUCUUUUUACAGAAUGCAUUUAUGUUCAAAAAUAAAAAUGUUCUGUUUAAUUCAAAAUUCAUGUGCUUUUAAAUUUCUGUCUGAAAUUCCGCAGUUUUCUGAUGCAUUAUAGUGUUUGCAGAAUGCCGCACAGCUCAUCUGAAAAUGCAUAGAUUUUCAUAUUCUUUGGUCAGGGAAUUGCAUAUAUGUUUGUUUAUUAGAUAACAACAGAUUUGUUUAAACUGCAGAAACAUGUGAGGUAUAUAGAGGUAAAGAAACAUGGCCGACUCGGGAUGUUGAUAUUUUUUCAAGGGCUUAUUUCCUGAAAUUUUGAAUGGAAAGUGUCAGAAAUAGUAAGAAUACUGCUUUUUUAUUGCCCAGCAGUAAGUUUUUUGACUAUUUGGUAUCAAAAUAGCCAUGAUUGGGGGUAUCCGUUGGUUGAGUGUGAAUUUUGGGUUGUAAAUGUGUAACAUUUUCUUCACAAUGAUAUCAAAACAUGGUUAGGUCUAAAUAUUAAGGCCAACUCAACUCCAGAUUUGGUCUAAAGUCACGAGAUGUAAACAAGGCUGACCCUAACCCUAACCCAAGACCCAGUCCUUACCCUAACCCUAACCCACAAUCUUGUCAAGAAGCAUGUAGCCUAGGCCUAAGCCAAGACCUAGUUCUGACCCUAGCCCAAACCCACAAUUGUGUAAAAAAAUCAUGUGCCCUAACCCUAUUUACAUGUUGUGACCUUGAACCAAGUCUGCAGUUGGCCUUAACAUUUAGACCUAACAUGUUUUUGACAUCAUACAAUGAAAUGUUAACAUGUACACUCCAAAAUUCACACCUGUGUGACUUUUGACCAAACAUGCAGUUGGCCUUAAUAUUUAGACCGAACCUCAAAACAUGGCAUCUACCUUUGAGAUUGGCUUAGACUUAUGUGACACUCAAGGUUUACUUUUUUACUGAUUGUUAACUGGUUUCUUUUUGGAGGGCCAGUGACGGGCUGUUCGCGAGAAAUAAAGAGGUUUAUUUCUAUUUCCAGUUGAAACCAUAUUUUUUUCUUAUUUUCUCACUGUUUUUUAUUGCAUAUUUAUCCCCAGCCUCCUAUCAUUUCAGGUGCCAGGGCAUUGUUUCAUAGAGUGGAAUGAUUGACCUCAACACAAGUAUUAAAAAAAAAGAAGCAAAACAGGUCUACAUCUCAAAACCUGAUCUCUUCCUGGACUGGCUUUAGGAGAACGAUGAUGCAUAUCAAUUUCAUCCCUGAUCUCUAUGACACCUGUGGUGGAAGUGGAGGGCAAAUCGUAAUCAGUUUGGGACCUCUGUAAACUUUGCUUUUUGGUGAUGACUUAAUUUCCGAGCUUGAAAAGGACGCUUGUGUGUUUAUCAUGGCCUCUCAUAUUGGAAGAUAACAUUAAUGGCUUGUGUGUUGAUCGACGGUUGUGCAUAUCUCUUGGUCAGGAAAGUUGUAGGCACCAUCGCCAUUGUAAAUCAUUUGACAGGCUCGAGUGAACGGGGCGACCUAUGAUUGGUCAGCAAUGUAUCAGAUUCCAUACCGGGGGGUGGGGAUGAAAAAACUGUUGUAGUGUUACAUAAUCAGAUUAUUUCAACUUACUUAUCCUGUGGAAAUACAGCUAUAUAGGAGAUAUUUUGAAAUUCAUAGGCACUGCAUGUUUCAACAUUUUAGAUUUGACCACAAUUUGGCACUUAAAACUAUGUUAACAGAGAAAAACUGUGUGGUUUUCGAUGAAAGUGUUAAAAGUCUAAUAUUGCAUCAUGAUUACUGUUUUAAAGUAUUUUCGUGUUUGAUUUAUAUUGAAUUCAUCUCAUCUUUUUGAAGAAUGCAUUUAUGUUCAAAAAUAAAAAUGUUCUGUGGAAUUCAAAAUUCAUGUGCUUUUAAAUUAUCAGAUUCCAAACUGGGGGGUAGGGAUGAAAAAGCUGUUGUAGUGUUACAUAAUCAGAUUAUUUCAACUUACUUAUCCUAUGGAAAUACAGCUAUAUAGGAGAUAUUUUAAAAUUCAUAGGCACUGCAUGUUUCAACAUUUUAGAUUUGACCACAAUUUGGCACUUGAAACUACGUUAACAGAGAAAAACUGUGUGGUUUUCGAUGAAAGUGUUAAAAAGUCUAAUAUUGCAUCAUGAUUACUGUUUUAAAGUAUUUUCGUGUUUGAUUUAUAUUGAAUUUAUCUCAUCUUUUUACAGAAUGCAUUUAUGUUCAAAAAUAAAAAUGUUCUGUUUAAUUCAAAAUUCAUGUGCUUUUAAAUUUCUGUCUGAAAUUCCGCAGUUUUCUGAUGCAUUAUAGUGUUUGCAGAAUGCCGCACAGCUCAUCUGAAAAUGCAUAGAUUUUCAUAUUCUUUGGUCAGGGAAUUGCAUAUAUGUUUGUUUAUUAGAUAACAACAGAUUUGUUUAAACUGCAGAAACAUGUGAGGUAUAUAGGACUAAGACUAGUAAUUAUUUCCCCUUAUUUCAUGAUGGACGAAUGUAGUGCGAGUUAUAAAUAGACAAUUUUUCCCUUAAUUUUUUUCUCCCCUCUUCCUGCAUUUUUGGGUUGACUUUUUGGUCUAGAAUUGGAGAAAAGGGAUCAAAUUUGCAAUUUCAUAGCAGUUUUGGGUAAUACUGAUGAUAUUACAGCGGAGGGAUAGGGGGUGUAAAGUGUCUUUCUGCAGAGCAGUCAUUGUGUCGGAAGUGAGAUUUUCACCCCAGUCAACUUCAAAUCCGUGUAGCAAAAAAUCUAAAUGGUCAACCCCCUACAAAAUUAUGAUGAGGAGAUUGCCAAAUGUUGUCCCCAUUGUGCCUAUAAAGAUUGGAACCAACGGAAUGUUGAGAAAAAAGCUACAGCCUGUGAUGUUACAGCCAUUUAACAUUGAAGUCAAUGGGCAAAUAAUUGCUAGUCUGAGUCCUGAUGAGGUAAAGAAACAUGGCCGACUCGGGAUGUUGAUAUUUUUUCAAGGGCUUAUUUCCUGAAAUUUUGAAUGGAAAGUGUCAGAAAUAGUAAGAAUACUGCUUUUUUAUUGCCCAGCAGUAAGUUUUUUGACUAUUUGGUAUCAAAAUAGCCAUGAUUGGGGGUAUCCGUUGGUUGAGUGUGAAUUUUGGGUUGUAAAUGUGUAACAUUUUCUUCACAAUGAUAUCAAAACAUGGUUAGGUCUAAAUAUUAAGGCCAACUCAACUCCAGAUUUGGUCUAAAGUCACGAGAUGUAAACAAGGCUGACCCUAACCCUAACCCAAGACCCAGUCCUUACCCUAACCCUAACCCACAAUCUUGUCAAGAAGCAUGUAGCCUAGGCCUAAGCCAAGACCUAGUUCUGACCCUAGCCCAAACCCACAAUUGUGUAAAAAAAUCAUGUGCCCUAACCCUAUUUACAUGUUGUGACCUUGAACCAAGUCUGCAGUUGGCCUUAACAUUUAGACCUAACAUGUUUUUGACAUCAUACAAUGAAAUGUUAACAUGUACACUCCAAAAUUCACACCUGUGUGACUUUUGACCAAACAUGCAGUUGGCCUUAAUAUUUAGACCGAACCUCAAAACAUGGCAUCUACCUUUGAGAUUGGCUUAGACUUAUGUGACACUCAAGGUUUACUUUUUUACUGAUUGUUAACUGGUUUCUUUUUGGAGGGCCAGUGACGGGCUGUUCGCGAGAAAUAAAGAGGUUUAUUUCUAUUUCCAGUUGAAACCAUAUUUUUUUCUUAUUUUCUCACUGUUUUUUAUUGCAUAUUUAUCCCCAGCCUCCUAUCAUUUCAGGUGCCAGGGCAUUGUUUCAUAGAGUGGAAUGAUUGACCUCAACACAAGUAUUAAAAAAAAAGAAGCAAAACAGGUCUACAUCUCAAAACCUGAUCUCUUCCUGGACUGGCUUUAGGAGAACGAUGAUGCAUAUCAAUUUCAUCCCUGAUCUCUAUGACACCUGUGGUGGAAGUGGAGGGCAAAUCGUAAUCAGUUUGGGACCUCUGUAAACUUUGCUUUUUGGUGAUGACUUAAUUUCCGAGCUUGAAAAGGACGCUUGUGUGUUUAUCAUGGCCUCUCAUAUUGGAAGAUAACAUUAAUGGCUUGUGUGUUGAUCGACGGUUGUGCAUAUCUCUUGGUCAGGAAAGUUGUAGGCACCAUCGCCAUUGUAAAUCAUUUGACAGGCUCGAGUGAACGGGGCGACCUAUGAUUGGUCAGCAAUGUAUCAGAUUCCAUACCGGGGGGUGGGGAUGAAAAAACUGUUGUAGUGUUACAUAAUCAGAUUAUUUCAACUUACUUAUCCUGUGGAAAUACAGCUAUAUAGGAGAUAUUUUGAAAUUCAUAGGCACUGCAUGUUUCAACAUUUUAGAUUUGACCACAAUUUGGCACUUAAAACUAUGUUAACAGAGAAAAACUGUGUGGUUUUCGAUGAAAGUGUUAAAAGUCUAAUAUUGCAUCAUGAUUACUGUUUUAAAGUAUUUUCGUGUUUGAUUUAUAUUGAAUUCAUCUCAUCUUUUUGAAGAAUGCAUUUAUGUUCAAAAAUAAAAAUGUUCUGUGGAAUUCAAAAUUCAUGUGCUUUUAAAUUAUCAGAUUCCAAACUGGGGGGUAGGGAUGAAAAAGCUGUUGUAGUGUUACAUAAUCAGAUUAUUUCAACUUACUUAUCCUAUGGAAAUACAGCUAUAUAGGAGAUAUUUUAAAAUUCAUAGGCACUGCAUGUUUCAACAUUUUAGAUUUGACCACAAUUUGGCACUUGAAACUACGUUAACAGAGAAAAACUGUGUGGUUUUCGAUGAAAGUGUUAAAAAGUCUAAUAUUGCAUCAUGAUUACUGUUUUAAAGUAUUUUCGUGUUUGAUUUAUAUUGAAUUUAUCUCAUCUUUUUACAGAAUGCAUUUAUGUUCAAAAAUAAAAAUGUUCUGUUUAAUUCAAAAUUCAUGUGCUUUUAAAUUUCUGUCUGAAAUUCCGCAGUUUUCUGAUGCAUUAUAGUGUUUGCAGAAUGCCGCACAGCUCAUCUGAAAAUGCAUAGAUUUUCAUAUUCUUUGGUCAGGGAAUUGCAUAUAUGUUUGUUUAUUAGAUAACAACAGAUUUGUUUAAACUGCAGAAACAUGUGAGGUAUAUAGGACUAAGACUAGUAAUUAUUUCCCCUUAUUUCAUGAUGGACGAAUGUAGUGCGAGUUAUAAAUAGACAAUUUUUCCCUUAAUUUUUUUCUCCCCUCUUCCUGCAUUUUUGGGUUGACUUUUUGGUCUAGAAUUGGAGAAAAGGGAUCAAAUUUGCAAUUUCAUAGCAGUUUUGGGUAAUACUGAUGAUAUUACAGCGGAGGGAUAGGGGGUGUAAAGUGUCUUUCUGCAGAGCAGUCAUUGUGUCGGAAGUGAGAUUUUCACCCCAGUCAACUUCAAAUCCGUGUAGCAAAAAAUCUAAAUGGUCAACCCCCUACAAAAUUAUGAUGAGGAGAUUGCCAAAUGUUGUCCCCAUUGUGCCUAUAAAGAUUGGAACCAACGGAAUGUUGAGAAAAAAGCUACAGCCUGUGAUGUUACAGCCAUUUAACAUUGAAGUCAAUGGGCAAAUAAUUGCUAGUCUGAGUCCUGAUGAGGUAAAGAAACAUGGCCGACUCGGGAUGUUGAUAUUUUUUCAAGGGCUUAUUUCCUGAAAUUUUGAAUGGAAAGUGUCAGAAAUAGUAAGAAUACUGCUUUUUUAUUGCCCAGCAGUAAGUUUUUUGACUAUUUGGUAUCAAAAUAGCCAUGAUUGGGGGUAUCCGUUGGUUGAGUGUGAAUUUUGGGUUGUAAAUGUGUAACAUUUUCUUCACAAUGAUAUCAAAACAUGGUUAGGUCUAAAUAUUAAGGCCAACUCAACUCCAGAUUUGGUCUAAAGUCACGAGAUGUAAACAAGGCUGACCCUAACCCUAACCCAAGACCCAGUCCUUACCCUAACCCUAACCCACAAUCUUGUCAAGAAGCAUGUAGCCUAGGCCUAAGCCAAGACCUAGUUCUGACCCUAGCCCAAACCCACAAUUGUGUAAAAAAAUCAUGUGCCCUAACCCUAUUUACAUGUUGUGACCUUGAACCAAGUCUGCAGUUGGCCUUAACAUUUAGACCUAACAUGUUUUUGACAUCAUACAAUGAAAUGUUAACAUGUACACUCCAAAAUUCACACCUGUGUGACUUUUGACCAAACAUGCAGUUGGCCUUAAUAUUUAGACCGAACCUCAAAACAUGGCAUCUACCUUUGAGAUUGGCUUAGACUUAUGUGACACUCAAGGUUUACUUUUUUACUGAUUGUUAACUGGUUUCUUUUUGGAGGGCCAGUGACGGGCUGUUCGCGAGAAAUAAAGAGGUUUAUUUCUAUUUCCAGUUGAAACCAUAUUUUUUUCUUAUUUUCUCACUGUUUUUUAUUGCAUAUUUAUCCCCAGCCUCCUAUCAUUUCAGGUGCCAGGGCAUUGUUUCAUAGAGUGGAAUGAUUGACCUCAACACAAGUAUUAAAAAAAAAGAAGCAAAACAGGUCUACAUCUCAAAACCUGAUCUCUUCCUGGACUGGCUUUAGGAGAACGAUGAUGCAUAUCAAUUUCAUCCCUGAUCUCUAUGACACCUGUGGUGGAAGUGGAGGGCAAAUCGUAAUCAGUUUGGGACCUCUGUAAACUUUGCUUUUUGGUGAUGACUUAAUUUCCGAGCUUGAAAAGGACGCUUGUGUGUUUAUCAUGGCCUCUCAUAUUGGAAGAUAACAUUAAUGGCUUGUGUGUUGAUCGACGGUUGUGCAUAUCUCUUGGUCAGGAAAGUUGUAGGCACCAUCGCCAUUGUAAAUCAUUUGACAGGCUCGAGUGAACGGGGCGACCUAUGAUUGGUCAGCAAUGUAUCAGAUUCCAUACCGGGGGGUGGGGAUGAAAAAACUGUUGUAGUGUUACAUAAUCAGAUUAUUUCAACUUACUUAUCCUGUGGAAAUACAGCUAUAUAGGAGAUAUUUUGAAAUUCAUAGGCACUGCAUGUUUCAACAUUUUAGAUUUGACCACAAUUUGGCACUUAAAACUAUGUUAACAGAGAAAAACUGUGUGGUUUUCGAUGAAAGUGUUAAAAGUCUAAUAUUGCAUCAUGAUUACUGUUUUAAAGUAUUUUCGUGUUUGAUUUAUAUUGAAUUCAUCUCAUCUUUUUGAAGAAUGCAUUUAUGUUCAAAAAUAAAAAUGUUCUGUGGAAUUCAAAAUUCAUGUGCUUUUAAAUUAUCAGAUUCCAAACUGGGGGGUAGGGAUGAAAAAGCUGUUGUAGUGUUACAUAAUCAGAUUAUUUCAACUUACUUAUCCUAUGGAAAUACAGCUAUAUAGGAGAUAUUUUAAAAUUCAUAGGCACUGCAUGUUUCAACAUUUUAGAUUUGACCACAAUUUGGCACUUGAAACUACGUUAACAGAGAAAAACUGUGUGGUUUUCGAUGAAAGUGUUAAAAAGUCUAAUAUUGCAUCAUGAUUACUGUUUUAAAGUAUUUUCGUGUUUGAUUUAUAUUGAAUUUAUCUCAUCUUUUUACAGAAUGCAUUUAUGUUCAAAAAUAAAAAUGUUCUGUUUAAUUCAAAAUUCAUGUGCUUUUAAAUUUCUGUCUGAAAUUCCGCAGUUUUCUGAUGCAUUAUAGUGUUUGCAGAAUGCCGCACAGCUCAUCUGAAAAUGCAUAGAUUUUCAUAUUCUUUGGUCAGGGAAUUGCAUAUAUGUUUGUUUAUUAGAUAACAACAGAUUUGUUUAAACUGCAGAAACAUGUGAGGUAUAUAUAUAUGGACUAAGACUAGUAAUUAUUUCCCCUUAUUUCAUGAUGGACGAAUGUAGUGCGAGUUAUAAAUAGACAAUUUUUCCCUUAAUUUUUUUCUCCCCUCUUCCUGCAUUUUUGGGUUGACUUUUUGGUCUAGAAUUGGAGAAAAGGGAUCAAAUUUGCAAUUUCAUAGCAGUUUUGGGUAAUACUGAUGAUAUUACAGCGGAGGGAUAGGGGGUGUAAAGUGUCUUUCUGCAGAGCAGUCAUUGUGUCGGAAGUGAGAUUUUCACCCCAGUCAACUUCAAAUCCGUGUAGCAAAAAAUCUAAAUGGUCAACCCCCUACAAAAUUAUGAUGAGGAGAUUGCCAAAUGUUGUCCCCAUUGUGCCUAUAAAGAUUGGAACCAACGGAAUGUUGAGAAAAAAGCUACAGCCUGUGAUGUUACAGCCAUUUAACAUUGAAGUCAAUGGGCAAAUAAUUGCUAGUCUGAGUCCUGAUGAGGUAAAGAAACAUGGCCGACUCGGGAUGUUGAUAUUUUUUCAAGGGCUUAUUUCCUGAAAUUUUGAAUGGAAAGUGUCAGAAAUAGUAAGAAUACUGCUUUUUUAUUGCCCAGCAGUAAGUUUUUUGACUAUUUGGUAUCAAAAUAGCCAUGAUUGGGGGUAUCCGUUGGUUGAGUGUGAAUUUUGGGUUGUAAAUGUGUAACAUUUUCUUCACAAUGAUAUCAAAACAUGGUUAGGUCUAAAUAUUAAGGCCAACUCAACUCCAGAUUUGGUCUAAAGUCACGAGAUGUAAACAAGGCUGACCCUAACCCUAACCCAAGACCCAGUCCUUACCCUAACCCUAACCCACAAUCUUGUCAAGAAGCAUGUAGCCUAGGCCUAAGCCAAGACCUAGUUCUGACCCUAGCCCAAACCCACAAUUGUGUAAAAAAAUCAUGUGCCCUAACCCUAUUUACAUGUUGUGACCUUGAACCAAGUCUGCAGUUGGCCUUAACAUUUAGACCUAACAUGUUUUUGACAUCAUACAAUGAAAUGUUAACAUGUACACUCCAAAAUUCACACCUGUGUGACUUUUGACCAAACAUGCAGUUGGCCUUAAUAUUUAGACCGAACCUCAAAACAUGGCAUCUACCUUUGAGAUUGGCUUAGACUUAUGUGACACUCAAGGUUUACUUUUUUACUGAUUGUUAACUGGUUUCUUUUUGGAGGGCCAGUGACGGGCUGUUCGCGAGAAAUAAAGAGGUUUAUUUCUAUUUCCAGUUGAAACCAUAUUUUUUUCUUAUUUUCUCACUGUUUUUUAUUGCAUAUUUAUCCCCAGCCUCCUAUCAUUUCAGGUGCCAGGGCAUUGUUUCAUAGAGUGGAAUGAUUGACCUCAACACAAGUAUUAAAAAAAAAGAAGCAAAACAGGUCUACAUCUCAAAACCUGAUCUCUUCCUGGACUGGCUUUAGGAGAACGAUGAUGCAUAUCAAUUUCAUCCCUGAUCUCUAUGACACCUGUGGUGGAAGUGGAGGGCAAAUCGUAAUCAGUUUGGGACCUCUGUAAACUUUGCUUUUUGGUGAUGACUUAAUUUCCGAGCUUGAAAAGGACGCUUGUGUGUUUAUCAUGGCCUCUCAUAUUGGAAGAUAACAUUAAUGGCUUGUGUGUUGAUCGACGGUUGUGCAUAUCUCUUGGUCAGGAAAGUUGUAGGCACCAUCGCCAUUGUAAAUCAUUUGACAGGCUCGAGUGAACGGGGCGACCUAUGAUUGGUCAGCAAUGUAUCAGAUUCCAUACCGGGGGGUGGGGAUGAAAAAACUGUUGUAGUGUUACAUAAUCAGAUUAUUUCAACUUACUUAUCCUGUGGAAAUACAGCUAUAUAGGAGAUAUUUUGAAAUUCAUAGGCACUGCAUGUUUCAACAUUUUAGAUUUGACCACAAUUUGGCACUUAAAACUAUGUUAACAGAGAAAAACUGUGUGGUUUUCGAUGAAAGUGUUAAAAGUCUAAUAUUGCAUCAUGAUUACUGUUUUAAAGUAUUUUCGUGUUUGAUUUAUAUUGAAUUCAUCUCAUCUUUUUGAAGAAUGCAUUUAUGUUCAAAAAUAAAAAUGUUCUGUGGAAUUCAAAAUUCAUGUGCUUUUAAAUUAUCAGAUUCCAAACUGGGGGGUAGGGAUGAAAAAGCUGUUGUAGUGUUACAUAAUCAGAUUAUUUCAACUUACUUAUCCUAUGGAAAUACAGCUAUAUAGGAGAUAUUUUAAAAUUCAUAGGCACUGCAUGUUUCAACAUUUUAGAUUUGACCACAAUUUGGCACUUGAAACUACGUUAACAGAGAAAAACUGUGUGGUUUUCGAUGAAAGUGUUAAAAAGUCUAAUAUUGCAUCAUGAUUACUGUUUUAAAGUAUUUUCGUGUUUGAUUUAUAUUGAAUUUAUCUCAUCUUUUUACAGAAUGCAUUUAUGUUCAAAAAUAAAAAUGUUCUGUUUAAUUCAAAAUUCAUGUGCUUUUAAAUUUCUGUCUGAAAUUCCGCAGUUUUCUGAUGCAUUAUAGUGUUUGCAGAAUGCCGCACAGCUCAUCUGAAAAUGCAUAGAUUUUCAUAUUCUUUGGUCAGGGAAUUGCAUAUAUGUUUGUUUAUUAGAUAACAACAGAUUUGUUUAAACUGCAGAAACAUGUGAGGUAUAUAGGACUAAGACUAGUAAUUAUUUCCCCUUAUUUCAUGAUGGACGAAUGUAGUGCGAGUUAUAAAUAGACAAUUUUUCCCUUAAUUUUUUUCUCCCCUCUUCCUGCAUUUUUGGGUUGACUUUUUGGUCUAGAAUUGGAGAAAAGGGAUCAAAUUUGCAAUUUCAUAGCAGUUUUGGGUAAUACUGAUGAUAUUACAGCGGAGGGAUAGGGGGUGUAAAGUGUCUUUCUGCAGAGCAGUCAUUGUGUCGGAAGUGAGAUUUUCACCCCAGUCAACUUCAAAUCCGUGUAGCAAAAAAUCUAAAUGGUCAACCCCCUACAAAAUUAUGAUGAGGAGAUUGCCAAAUGUUGUCCCCAUUGUGCCUAUAAAGAUUGGAACCAACGGAAUGUUGAGAAAAAAGCUACAGCCUGUGAUGUUACAGCCAUUUAACAUUGAAGUCAAUGGGCAAAUAAUUGCUAGUCUGAGUCCUGAUGAGGUAAAGAAACAUGGCCGACUCGGGAUGUUGAUAUUUUUUCAAGGGCUUAUUUCCUGAAAUUUUGAAUGGAAAGUGUCAGAAAUAGUAAGAAUACUGCUUUUUUAUUGCCCAGCAGUAAGUUUUUUGACUAUUUGGUAUCAAAAUAGCCAUGAUUGGGGGUAUCCGUUGGUUGAGUGUGAAUUUUGGGUUGUAAAUGUGUAACAUUUUCUUCACAAUGAUAUCAAAACAUGGUUAGGUCUAAAUAUUAAGGCCAACUCAACUCCAGAUUUGGUCUAAAGUCACGAGAUGUAAACAAGGCUGACCCUAACCCUAACCCAAGACCCAGUCCUUACCCUAACCCUAACCCACAAUCUUGUCAAGAAGCAUGUAGCCUAGGCCUAAGCCAAGACCUAGUUCUGACCCUAGCCCAAACCCACAAUUGUGUAAAAAAAUCAUGUGCCCUAACCCUAUUUACAUGUUGUGACCUUGAACCAAGUCUGCAGUUGGCCUUAACAUUUAGACCUAACAUGUUUUUGACAUCAUACAAUGAAAUGUUAACAUGUACACUCCAAAAUUCACACCUGUGUGACUUUUGACCAAACAUGCAGUUGGCCUUAAUAUUUAGACCGAACCUCAAAACAUGGCAUCUACCUUUGAGAUUGGCUUAGACUUAUGUGACACUCAAGGUUUACUUUUUUACUGAUUGUUAACUGGUUUCUUUUUGGAGGGCCAGUGACGGGCUGUUCGCGAGAAAUAAAGAGGUUUAUUUCUAUUUCCAGUUGAAACCAUAUUUUUUUCUUAUUUUCUCACUGUUUUUUAUUGCAUAUUUAUCCCCAGCCUCCUAUCAUUUCAGGUGCCAGGGCAUUGUUUCAUAGAGUGGAAUGAUUGACCUCAACACAAGUAUUAAAAAAAAAGAAGCAAAACAGGUCUACAUCUCAAAACCUGAUCUCUUCCUGGACUGGCUUUAGGAGAACGAUGAUGCAUAUCAAUUUCAUCCCUGAUCUCUAUGACACCUGUGGUGGAAGUGGAGGGCAAAUCGUAAUCAGUUUGGGACCUCUGUAAACUUUGCUUUUUGGUGAUGACUUAAUUUCCGAGCUUGAAAAGGACGCUUGUGUGUUUAUCAUGGCCUCUCAUAUUGGAAGAUAACAUUAAUGGCUUGUGUGUUGAUCGACGGUUGUGCAUAUCUCUUGGUCAGGAAAGUU